GUGAAGCAGCAAUUUCCAAUUUAUUAAUUACAAUCUUGCAAGAAGGGGUGUCUCAGGCAAGAGGCACACCGCCUGAGGUUUUACACAGUAUUUAUAAGACAUUUUCUGUUACAAUAUUUCUAUCUCAUUUUUUUAUGGGCCAGAUCUAGACAUAUGAUCAAUUUUAAGACCACCUUUUCAUGUAUGUAAAACUCCACCCAUAGCAUAUCUCAUCAUACAUCUCAUGACCAUUUAAAUUAGCCAUUAUAGAUUCAUAGGUGUGUUUUAAUAUUCAUCACCCCCCAUUACGGAUGCGCAAAAGGGGAUAUCUCUUGACUUUUAGUAACCCCACCAAAUAAAUAGUGUUCUUGACAUUUAAUGAAGAUGGAGCUCUCUUAUCAGUUGGCUGCAAAAACUGUUUUGCCUCCUUUGCAAAGUUGUCCUUGACUUCCAGCAGAAUCUAUGCCUGGAAAAUGCAAGCUCCCAUUAGAGCUUGGGAGGUGCAGCUCAGACUUCAUGCGCUAUUACUUCAGUGUCAAGACUCUGAAAUGUGAGAUGUUCACUUUUCGUGGCUGCAGAGGUAAUGAAAAUAAUUUUGUGACACAACGGUAUUGCAUUCAUGAGUGUGAACGCUUUGUGCCACUUUAACAGGACAUUGGCGUGCUGCCUGAGCUAACAGUUUUUGGGAAUCACUGACUAUGUAACAUGGACUCAAGCCACUAUUAUAAUUUCAGACUUCCUCUCAAUCUGCAGAUGUCCUUCUUUUCAUAUUAUCUGGAAGCUCCUGAAUAUUUUGAAUA